CCUACGGGAGGCUGCAGUGGGGAAUAUUGGACAAUGGGGGGAACCCUGAUCCAGCCAUGCCGCGUGUGUGAAGAAGGCCCUCGGGUUGUAAAGCACUUUCAGUGAGGAAGAACGCCUGGUGGUUAAUACCCAUCAGGAAAGACAUCACUCACAGAAGAAGCACCGGCUAACUCUGUGCCAGCAGCCGCGGUAAUACGGAGGGUGCGAGCGUUAAUCGGAAUUACUGGGCGUAAAGCGCGCGUAGGUGGCUUGAUAAGCCGGUUGUGAAAGCCCCGGGCUCAACCUGGGAACGGCAUCCGGAACUGUCAAGCUAGAGUGCAGGAGAGGAAGGGAGAAUUCCCGGUGUAGCGGUGAAAUGCGUAGAGAUCGGGAGGAAUACCAGUGGCGAAGGCGGCCUUCUGGACUGACACUGACACUGAGGUGCGAAAGCGUGGGUAGCAAACAGGAUUAGAUACCCUAGUAGUC
rnacentral:rRNA from 1 species